rnacentral:rRNA from 1 species
UACGUAGGGGGCUAGCGUUGUCCGGAAUCAUUGGGCGUAAAGCGCGUGUAGGCGGUCCGGUAAGUCCGCUGUGAAAGUCGAGGGCUCAACCCUCGAAUGCCGGUGGAUACUGUCGAGCUCGAGUCCGGAAGAGGCGAGUGGAAUUCCUGGUGUAGCGGUGAAAUGCGCAGAUAUCAGGAGGAACACCAAUGGCGAAGGCAGCUCGCUGGGACGUGACUGACGCUGAGACGCGAAAGCGUGGGGAGCAAACAGG